rnacentral:snoRNA from 1 species
AUCCCAUGAUGAGGACAAGUGGCAAUGUAUUCCUGCAACCUUUCCCAUGCUUCCGGGACCGUCUCAUCUUUCGUCUGCUGGAAGCUAGAUAUUCUUCCACGAAAAGC